rnacentral:rRNA from 1 species
AUGGUUCAGUUGGAUCACUUCACCUCCUCUGAUGGACUGAUUGUUUUUGUGGUGGCAAUCCAAUCCUGCAGUUGUGGUGGGCGGGCUGAUGAUCCCGGCGCUGUACCAGAGGUUGGGAAUGGAGAGAUACAUGAGGCUGGCAUCCCUCAACGUCUACAGAUAUGGGCUCUUCUACCAGAGCUUCUCCCUCACCUGCUGGCGUCCGCUGGGGCCUCCACCAUCUCCUCGAUGGCGGAGGCUGCAUGCACGGCCCUCAUUCCGAAUUUAGAUCUGCGCCUGCAGGAGACGCAACGGCUGCUCAGCGAACCAGCGCCGGGGAUCAGCGCCUCGCCGUCAGAGGAGAACAUUCGUUACUUCAAUGUCAUGGUCCUUGGCCCCGCGCAGUCGCCCUACGAAGGCAUGAUAUAUAUGCCUUUUUAUCAUAUAAUAUAUUGUUUGUUUCCCCUGCUGAAAUAGUGUGCCUACCAGUAUUAUGUGCUUUCUAUCCUGCAAUGCUAUGGCGGUACUGCAAUUGUUGCAGCUGACAAGGUGGUGAACCCGCUGUUCGACAAGAGGCCGAAGCAGUUCGGCAUCGGUGGCGCCCUGCCGCCCAAGAAGGACCUCCAUCGGUUCGUCAAGUGGCCCAAGGUCAUGCGCAUCUAG